AUUUAAAAAUAGUGUCGUUGGGAAGUGUGGAGCGCACAUCGUUAAAGACUGACAUUCGCAACAGGCUGGGCCGUUGUCGCGGACGGGUCGCUGCGCGUACGGUGCGAUUACAGCACGGCUAUACAGCUCGCCGGCCCGUGGGGGGCUAGCAGCGCAACCGUAAAGACUCAGAGGAGAUUGCGGGACCCGCAGAAGCAGGCAACCGUGUGGAUUAAUUCGACGCAACACAAAAAACCUUACCUGGCCUUCGCAUGGCCCCUCCACCCCGUCGGAACACGGGCCGCCUGCGAGGGUCCGGCACGAGGUCCUGCAUGCCUGUCGUCAGCCCGUGUCGUGAGAUGUGGGUUCAGUCCCGGAAGAGCCAACCCGCGUCGGGUAGUUACCCGUGUCUACCGAGACUGCCCCGUGACCGCCGGAGGAAGGCGCGGAUGACGUCAAGUCAGCAUUGGCCCUUACGUCCAGGGCGACACACACGCUACAAUGGCCACGACAAUUGCGUCGCCAAGCCGCAAGUCGGAGCUAAUCGCUUAAACCGUGGUCUCAGUGCAGAUCGGGGGCUGCAACUCGUCCCCGUGAAGUCGGAGUUGCUAGUAACCGCGUAAGGGCG
rnacentral:rRNA from 1 species